rnacentral:rRNA from 1 species
CGGAGGUACUCGAGUGGCGAACGGGUGAGUAACACGUGGGUGAUCCGCCCUGCACUCUGGGAUAAGCCUGGGAAACUGGGUCUAAUACCGGAUAGGACCAUGCUUUAGUGUGUGUGGUGGAAAGUUUUUUCGGUGUAGGAUGAGCCCGCGGCCUAUCAGCUUGUUGGUGGGGUAAUGGCCUACCAAGGCGGCGACGGGUAGCCGGACUGAGAGGUUGGUCGGCCACAUUGGGACUGAGAUACGGCCCAG